rnacentral:ribozyme from 1 species
UGAAUAAUAGCUUGUACCAUCAGUUACGUCUAGUUCUCAAACCAAGAAAAAAGAAAGAAAGAAAGAAAGAAAAAAAAAUAGUUCUUUUUUCUCACGAUUUGACAAAAAGCGUUUAGCACCUAGAUUUCAUGAGAAAACCAGCCCGCAUCAAUCUACGCGCAACGAAACAUCUAAGGCCGCUCAUUUAUUCGCAAGUUCGGACGAAAAGGAAGAAGAUAAGCGUCCAGCUGUCAAAAGCCGUAAUCGCACAGAGAAGGAUGGGAGUAAGA